UUCAAGUGAAGAGUUUGAUCCUGGCUCAGAUUGAACGCUGGCGGCGUGCCUAACACAUGCAAGUCGAGCGGUAACAGGUGUAGCAAUACAUGCUGACGAGCGGCGAACGGGUGAGUAAUGCUUCGGAAUCUGCCCAAUGGUGGGGAACAACCAGCCGAAAGGUUGGCUAAUACCGCAUAAGUCCUACGGGAGAAAGCAGGGGAUCGCAAGACCUUGCGCCGAUGGAUGAGCCGAAGCCGGAUUAGCUAGUUGGUAGGGUAACGGCCUACCAAGGCGACGAUCCGUAGCUGGUCUGAGAGGACGACCAGCCACACUGGGACUGAGA
rnacentral:rRNA from 1 species